UUCCGGCCGGAAGUGCGUGUGCUCCCGGGUUUCGGCGCGAGGGCGGGAGGAUGCGGAGGCGCGUGCUCGCUGGUCCCCGAGGGCCGGUCCCCGCUCGGCUCCGGGGGUCGCGGGCCCGGGCCCCGGGGUGACGCGGGCCUGUCGCCGCCACCGGCGCUAGCGGAGCCCCGCGAUGGCGGGAGGCCCCUGCUCGCGGCCCGGGACCUCAGGGACGGCUCCCCGCCGAGGAACGGGGACCUGGGCCGAGGAGGCCGCGGGCGCUGGGCGGACGCAGGGCCCCCGGGUGUGAGGUGAGCGGUUGCAGGAGGCGCCGCUGACGCCGGCAAGGCCCCCGGCUGGGCGGCCCGCGCGCUUCCGGGGAGCGUGUGAGCCCCGAAUGAAUCGGACCCUCCUUGUUACUCUUUCCCCCCAGGGUGUUCUCGGAAAACCCGGAGCCCAGCCCCCGGCGGCGGGGGAAGAAGGCGGGCGACGAUGGCUGCCUCCUGCUCCCGCGAUGAGGACGUCUGGGACGAGCGCGUUGUGGGGGUCCAGGCGAGUUUCCGGAACGCGGUGUGCACUGCCAGGACCUGAUUUCCCCUCCACCUGGUUCUGGGGGCUGCGAUGUCACUGUUGGUGUAGGGCCUGCCCGGGCUGUUGGGUUGAAUCGCUGGCCACCUCGUGUGUGACUGCUGCCUUCUCAAGCCCGUUCUGCAUGGAGGUGAAUAAAUGGAGCCUGACUCCAAGGAGACGUCA